rnacentral:rRNA from 1 species
ACGCUCGACACCUACGGGAGGUAGCAGUCGGGAAUAUUGCGCAAUGGAGGAAACUCUGACGCAGUGACGCCGCGUGCAGGAAGAAGGUUUUCGGAUUGUAAACUGCUUUAGACAGGGAAGAAAGAAAUGACAGUACCUGUAGAAUAAGCUCCGGCUAACUACGUGGCAGCAGCCGCGGUAAUCUGAGCGGGCUGGCAAGGC